rnacentral:rRNA from 1 species
GACGAACGCUGGCGGCGUGCUUAACACAUGCAAGUCGAACGGAAAGGCCCUGCUUGCAGGGUACUCGAGUGGCGAACGGGUGAGUAACACGUGGGUGAUCUGCCCUGCACUUCGGGAUAAGCCUGGUAAACUGGGUCUAAUACCGGAUAGGAGCCAUUUUUAGUGUGAUGGUUGGAAAGUUUUUUCGGUGUAGGAUGAGCUCGCGGCCUAACAGCUUGUUGGUGGGGUAAUGGCCUACCAAGGCGGCGACGGGUAGCCGGCCUGAGAGGGUGGACGGCCACCUUGGGACUGAGAUACGGCCCAGACUCCGACGGGAGGCAGAAGUGGGGAAUAUUGCACAAUGGGCGCAAGCCUGAUGCAGCGACGCCGCGUGGGGGAUGACGGCCUUCGGGUUGUAAACUCCUUUCGCUAGGGACGAAGCUUUUUGUGACGGUACCUAGAUAAGAAGCACCGGCUAACUACGUG